rnacentral:lncRNA from 1 species
GCCCCGGGGCCCCUCGCAAGGCGGCUGCGUCCUGCAGAGCGGGGCCCGGCCGGGGUGGGGUGCGAUAAGCCCUUGUCGCCCGCUGUCCCCGCUCGGCGGUGUGUGCCACGAGCCCCCGGGAGCCCAGCGCCGCUCCACGUGCGUCUCAGCCCCGGCCGGCGAGAGGUUCAUAGCAGGCCCAGGCGCAUGGGUGGAGGCGGUAGCUGUCUGAAGUAGCCAAGAUCUUCAGUUGAUAUCGCUAAUUACCAUCUUAUGGUGCCAAAGUUUGCAAGCCUCUGUGCAGCACAGAAUGAAAUGACAUAUUCCCUGCCCCGAGGAGUUUACAAUCUGAGUGGAUCUGACAACACGAGGGUGUGACAGGACACCACGGGGUUGCAGCAGCAGGAUCAUGCUGUUGAGGACUUAACUUACUCCAGGACUACAGAUGAGAGAAAGCAACAGCUCCAGAGGCCUCUUGGGAUGGCAGGAUGGAUCUGACAACGCAAGGUGUGACAGAAUGCCACAAGGUUGCAGCAACAGAAUCCCGGGAUCCAGUGCCCAGACAAAGAACUGACUCCUUUAAGAGGCAGGCACAGUCCUCUACAUCAUGCCACAAAGUUGCUGACUGAUGUUCGUUUUAGAUGUGUCCACUGCUUUGGAUCAUAACUCCAGGUAGAAUACAUUCCAUUAAACAUUCCUUGUAAUCUCAGGACCUACCCUUCCUGUAUGAAAGGACAUUUUAUUCCAUAGAAAACUAUUGUAAUAUCCUGUCCCACAAAGGAACUAAAUCACCUAGUGCCAUGUGGUUGUGCCGAGCCCUACUGAAGCCUGCUUGUUAAUCCUCACCUGAAGUGAACCAG